rnacentral:rRNA from 1 species
AGGGUUUGAUCCUGGCUCAGGAAGAACGCUAGCGGCAGGCCUUAUACAUGCAAGUCGAGGGGCAGCAUUUACUUCGGUAAAUGGCGACCGGCGCACGGGUGAGUAACGCGUAUGCAACCUACCUUUAACUGGGGCAUAGCUCGAGGAAACUCGAAUUAAUUCCCCAUAGUACAAUACAAUAUCGCAUGAUAUAAUUGUUAAAGAUUUAUCGGUUAAAGAUGGGCAUGCGUCUGAUUAGCUUGUUGGUAAGGUAACGGCUUACCAAGGCAACGAUCAGUAGGGGGUCUGAGAGGAUGAUACCCCACACUGGUACUGAGACACGGACCAGACGUCUACGGACGGCAGCAGUAAGGAAUAUUGGGCAAUGGGCGCAAGCCUGACCCAGCCAUGCCGCGUGCAGGAUGACGACCCUAUGGGUUGUAAACUGCUUUUAUAUAGGAAGAAAAUACUCUUGCGAGAGGAUCUGACGGUACUAUAUGAAUAAGGACCGGCUAACUCCGUGCCAGCAGCCGCGGUAAUACGGAGGGUUCAAGCGUUUUCCGGAUUUAUUGGGUUUAAAGGGUGCGUAGGUGGUUUAUUAAGUCAGUGGUGAAAUCCUGCAGCUCAACUGUAGAACUGCCAUUGAUACUGGUAAACUUGAGUUUGGUUUAGGUAAGCGGAAUUUAUGAUGUAGCGGUGAAAUGCAUAGAUAUCAUAAGGAACACCAAUAGCGAAGGCAGCUUACUGGACCAUAACUGACACUGAGGCACGAAAGCGUGGGUAGCGAACAGGAUUAGAUACCCUGGUAGUCCACGCCGUAAACGAUGCUCACUCGAUGUUAGCGAUAUACUGUUAGCGUCCAAGCUAAAGCGUUAAGUGAGCCACCUGGGGAGUACGCCGGCAACGG